rnacentral:rRNA from 1 species
UACGUAGGUGACAAGCGUUGUCCGGAUUUACUGGGCGUAAAGAGCUCGUAGGCGGCUUGUUGCGUCGGCUGUGAAAACCCGCGGCUUAACCGUGGGCUUGCAGCCGAUACGGGCGGGCUGGAGUUCGGUAGGGGAGACUGGAAUUCCUGGUGUAGCGGUGAAAUGCGCAGAUAUCAGGAGGAACACCAAUUGCGAAGGCAGCUCGCUGGGACGUUACUGACGCUGAGACGCGAAAGCGUGGGAGCAAACAGG